rnacentral:rRNA from 1 species
UACGGAGGAUGCAAGCGUUAUCCGGAAUGAUUGGGCGUAAAGCGUCCGCAGGUGGCUGUGUAAGUCUGCUGUUAAAGAGUGAGGCUCAACCUCAUAAAAGCAGUGGAAACUACACGGCUAGAGUGCGUUCGGGGCAGAGGGAAUUCCUGGUGUAGCGGUGAAAUGCGUAGAUAUCAGGAAGAACACCGGUGGCGAAAGCGGCAUCCUGGACCGGCAUUGACGCUGAGGCGCGAAAGCCCAGGGGAGCAAACGGG